AGUGAACGCUGGCGGCAGGCCUAAUACAUGCAAGUCGAACGGCAGCACAGCAGAGCUUGCUCUGUGGGUGGCGAGUGGCGGACGGGAGCGGAAUACAUGGGAAUCUGCCCAGUCGUGGGGGAUAACGUAGGGAAACUUACGCCAAUACCGCAUGCGCCCUUCGGGGGAAAGCCGGGGACCUUCCGGCCUGGCGCGAUUGGAUGAGCCCAUGGCGGCUUAGCUAGUUGGCGGGGUAAAGGCCCACUAAGGCGACGAUCCGAAGCUGGUAUGAGAGGAUGAUCAGCAACACUGGAACUGAGACUCGGUCCAGACUCCUACGGGAGGCAGCAGUAGGGAAUAUUGGACAAUGGGCGCAAGCCUGAUCCAGCCAUGCCGCGUGAGUGAAGAAGGCCUUCGGGUUGUAAAGCUCUUUUGUCCGGAAAGAAAAGCAUCCAGUUAAUACCUGGGUGUCCUGACGGUACCGGAAGAAUAAGCACCGGCUAACUUCGUGCCAGCCGCCGCCGUAACAC
rnacentral:rRNA from 1 species